rnacentral:rRNA from 1 species
UCGAGCGGUAAGGCCCUUCGGGGUACACGAGCGGCGAACGGGUGAGUAACACGUGGGUGAUCUGCCCUGCACUUCGGGAUAAGCCUGGGAAACUGGGUCUAAUACCGGAUAUGACCUUCGGCUGCAUGGCUGAGGGUGGAAAGGUUUACUGGUGCAGGAUGGGCCCGCGGCCUAUCAGCUUGUUGGUGGGGUAAUGGCCUACCAAGGCGACGACGGGUAGCCGACCUGAGAGGGUGACCGGCCACACUGGGACUGAGACACGGCCCAGACUCCUACGGGAGGCAGCAGUGGGGAAUAUUGCACAAUGGGCGAAAGCCUGAUGCAGCGACGCCGCGUGAGGGAUGACGGCCUUCGGGUUGUAAACCUCUUUCAGCAGGGACGAAGCGAAAGUGACGGUACCUGCAGAAGAAGCACCGGCCAACUACGUGCCAGCAGCCGCGGUAAUACGUAGGGUGCAAGCGUUGUCCGGAAUUACUGGGCGUAAAGAGCUCGUAGGCGGUUUGUCGCGUCGUCUGUGAAAACUCGAGGCUCAACCUCGAGCUUGCAGGCGAUACGGGCAGACUUGAGUACUGCAGGGGAGACUGGAAUUCCUGGUGUAGCGGUGAAAUGCGCAGAUAUCAGGAGGAACACCGGUGGCGAAGGCGGGUCUCUGGGCAGUAACUGACGCUGAGGAGCGAAAGCGUGGGUAGCGAACAGGAUUAGAUACCCUGGUAGUCCACGCCGUAAACGGUGGGCGCUAGGUGUGGGUUUCCUUCCACGGGAUCCGUGCCGUAGCUAACGCAUUAAGCGCCCCGCCU